UGGCAUCAGCAGACAUCCGCACCCUCCUCAGAGGAGGCCUCUUGAACUUGCCCCGAAGGUCAAAGAGUUUCUGGUUCAUGUCUUCCAGCUGCAGGGAGGCAGGGGAAUGCCCAGGAUGAGGAAGGGCACGUCCCUUCCAGUGACCAGGGGUUCCCGCACCCCCAGACAGGUCGAGGCCUUUCCCUGGCUCCCUGGAGGCUCCACCAACCCCCCUUCCCCCACCUGCACCCCCCAGGACAGAGUAAGGAAAGAGAAGGGGGGCUCCAGGCACCCACUGGAGCUGAGGAAUACAGAGCCAUGGCAGGCUAGCCUGACAAAGUGGGCCCAGGGCCUGCAGCAGAGGCUGGGGCAGAGACCCUGGGCCUUCCACACACCUCCUUUGUGCUUUUCUGAACCUUCAUUUCCAUAUCAUAUUUCUCCUCUUCAGCUGCAUCGACCUUGGCGUGGAGCUGUCUGCAAAGGUCCUGGGUGGAGGGGGGAAGGUUAACGGCCAGGCAGACACUAAGACUCCCUGUUUUGAGCCCAGAUCUGCUCUUGGUAUAGAACUGCCUUAUGCGGGGGCCAAGACGGAGCUGUCCAGCAUGGGCAGGAGCUGCCUCAGAAGGGCUUUGGGCAGGGCCACUGGAUGCCCCAGGUUGCUGGGGAUGAUGUGGAAGAGAUAACACUAAGGAGGGCUGGACUGCAUGGAUAGCUGCCACUGGGGUUCUGGGUACAUCUCAUCCCUGUAAAGGUGACCGAGGUUGAGCAUCUGGAUUCUGAAGCAAAGGUUUGAACAAUAUCCUGGAAGGCAGACCCACACAGGCUGGGGGAGGGGACUCACUAGACAGAACGGUAGGGUUCUGAGGCCCAGAGCCAGGAAGGGACUUCCCUGGGGAGCACAGAGGCAGGGAUGAAGCACAAGGGGGACUCAGAUGUCCUGGUCCCCAGCCCCAUAUCCUGGCAGUAGGCAAGCCAUGCCACGAAGAGCCAGAAGGCAUAGGGCCGGGGACAGGGGGCAGGGGGAAAGGGAUCGGCCCCUGUUACCUGCACUUCAGACAUAGACCCUGGCAGGUGCAAGGGAGGGCAGUGCUCAGAUAGAUAGUUGGCUUUCUCCGAUUGCCGGCGAGUUUCUUCUUUCUCUAGCUCAGUGGCAGCUAUCUGGAGCAUGACACUCUGGGAGGAGCAGGCCCGGAAAAAGAUGAGGAGAUGAGCUUCAGAUGCCCCCCCCAAGAGAAGCCCUGUAUCCUUCUCCUGUCUGCCCCAUAGCCUAGGAUGCAGCACAUGGAGGGCCCCAUGAAAGACUUGUUACAUCGAACUGAAUCGCUCCAGAGUGAGGAACCCAGUGGUUCUGCUACCCCCAGGUCCUUCUCUGACUUAAGAGACUCCAAUCCCUAUCCAGUUCUCUACGGCAAUGUGCAGCCUGUAGGUGUCCUGUGCAGUUGUCCCCUCUUCUGCUGGAGCUUGGCACCAUCUCUCUCAUUGGAACCUCAAAGGAACCCUAAGAGGCCAAGUGUCAGCUCCGCCCUACCCCCCCAAGCUGUGACCCUCAGCCUCAUUUUCCCCAUCUGUAAAUGAGGCAUGCUGAUCCUGG